CAGAGACUCUUACAGAUGUGAGGCUGCCAACCCAGUCAGCAAGGAGACAGCUGUUGUUCCAAAUCCCUGUAUAGAGAGUGAUCCCUCCAAGGUGGCAGAUGGUGAUGAGAGGACUCAAGGUUGUCUUAUUAUUGCUGUAAUCUGCGUUUUGGUUGCCUCAGGACUUGUUGGACUUGCAAUAUAUCUUAAGAGGAGAAACGGACACUCACAUACAGAUUCACCUGAAAGAGAGCAAGAUGACAUUCACUAUGCAGAGAUAACUCACAUUAAACCAGCAGAUAACCAGGUUAGUAAUAAUGCUACAGGCUGAUAAACAUAGGAGAUGUAAUUCAGCAGCUUUAGCAGCCUCAUGUCUACAACUGUAGGCUUUAGCUCUGUGCCAGUGGGUUAAUGUGGUCUUGAGUUGCACAGACCACCUGAGUUUGAUAACCGGCCUGAUGUCACUGCAACCAGUUUUGCCCAUAUGAAAUGUUUGGGUUGUACAAUGAGAAGCCACACUUCAUAUUGUACAUACAGUACCAGUCAAACGUUUGGACACACCUACCCAUUCAACUUUCCUCACAACUGCAGACCAC